rnacentral:rRNA from 1 species
GAUGAACGCUGGCGGCGUGCCUAAUACAUGCCAGUCGAGCGAACAGACGAGGAGCUUGCUCCUCUGGCGUUAGCGGCGGACGGGUGAGUAACACGUGGAUAACCUACCUAUAAGACUGGGAUAACUUCGGGAAACCGGAGCUAAUACCGGAUAACAUGUUGAACCGCAUGGUUCAACAGUGAAAGACGGUCUUGCUGUCACUUAUAGAUGGAUCCGCGCCGCAUUAGCUAGUUGGUAAGGUAACGGCUUACCAAGGCAACGAUGCGUAGCCGACCUGAGAGGGUGAUCGGCCACACUGGAACUGAGACACGGUCCAGACUCCUACGGGAGGCAGCAGUAGGGAAUCUUCCGCAAUGGGCGAAAGCCUGACGGAGCAACGCCGCGUGAGUGAAGAAGGUCUUCGGAUCGUAAAACUCUGUUAUUAGGGAAGAACAAAUGUGUAAGUAACUAUGCACGUCUUAACGGUACCUAAUCAGAAAGCCACGGCUAACUACGUG